UAAAAUCAAAUAUUCAAAAUCGAAACCAAAUCCAAAUCACCCACCCCAAUCCACUGCAAUCACGGCCGACGCUGCUCACCAGCGCGAUAGCUUCUUCUCCGCUCGCCAGCCACUUCUCCGCUCGAGCCACCGCGCGACAGUUUAUGCUUUGCUCGACAGUUUCUGCUUUGCGCGACAGCUUCUUCUCUACUCGCUAGCCACCGCGCGUCAGCCACUUCUCCACUCGCCAGCCACCGCCCGACAGUUUCUGCUUUGCUCGCUAGCCAGUAGCCACCGUACUCCAAUAGGUAUGUCAAGCCUUGUUUCUUUAAUUUUCUACAACAGCCAAAUAAAAACAAAUAGUCUAUGAAUCCUAGGGUUCUUACAACUAGAGUCGACAUUAUGAGAGGUAUCCAUGCCAUGGCUGCCACCCUCUGAGCCAGCCAGGAAGGGUUUACGUCUCUCACUAAUAUCUAUACGGGUAACUGACCCGGGUGAAGAAACACCCUUGUUGGAACCACCUGGUAUGUUAUGCCCUUGUCCUAUUGGUUGCCUCCCACACAAUCGUUCUCCAGAAUAAAGGAUUCUUACAAGAAUUAAAGGACAAAGCCACCUAAACAAAUAUCAAGCUCACAAAAAGGAAAGCAAUAGAUUGAAGAAUCAUAAGAACCGCCUCAUUAGAAAGUAAACAUCAUCCCCAAUUCCUAAUAGCAACAAACUAAUGGUUGUCCCAAGAGUACUGGAAGGCAAUGGUGCUAAAAACAUUGACAUCCUUGCUCCUAGAUGUCAAAUAGGCAACAUUGCCAUUCGUGCCGCCUCUCUUUUAGAAUUCCCCCCAUAUUAAUUGCAUACGAGGCUUUUUAUGAUACCUCUCAUUCUACAACACAAACAAAGAAAUCAAUGCAGAGUAUGAAUGUUUAAACAUGUGAGUGGAAGCACCUCGAGAGCACAAUAUAUCCUCCUAAAAUAUCCCUGAAAGGGUAGUCAAAGCCCUAUGAAAACCGACUGUACCUGAAUCGUGAUCAUAUUCUCUAAAGAGUUAGACUCAUCUUCUCUUUCCCUCUCAUAUGACCGCAUUAUUCUACACUAGGAGCCAACUUCAAAAAUUCCCUACCCAUUUCCAACUCUUAACUCGGUCAAACCACUACAAAGAUUGGGCAUGUUCCUACUAAAUCUAGGCAGUUUAAGUGUUUAGAAUUUCUCCCCAACAAGAGGAGAACACCUUCUAGGGCCCUCCAUACAACUGGGAACACUUUUCUUACCCAUUCUCCUAGAGCAGGUUGUAGGUAAAACUAGAAAACCCCUAAUAAGUCAUAUUGAACUUGCAAGGCAAGAGUAUCACCAGUGUGAGGGUUAUCACGGGAAAUUGAGAAUCCAGAGGUAGAACCACCCAUAUCCUUACUGCUCAAGCUAAAGGCUUUAGGAAAUUCCGCACUCGAUUCACUUGUUUCCUCAUCUCCUGAAUAUCCCCCAAGAAACAAAAUGCCGUAAAAGAAACAAAAGUAAGCCAACCACAACCGAACCAACCAUGCACAACAUCACCACUAUACACCAAACAACCUACCCAAGUCAUAGUUUCCUUACACCGCACAACCAACAUCGCACACUAAAACCAACACUGUACACUAAAAUCAACAAGCAAUCCAAAUCACCAACAAAGGACAAUAUAAAAUGAAAAUAAGCUUAAGAAGGGAAAGAAAUAGAUGAGAUACAAAAUAAAAAUGCCGCAGACGACAUUUUAGGGUUAGUAAAUUUGGGGAACUCGUAGCUACCAACAAUCUUGAGAAAGUUAUAGAGAAGAGAAAACCAAAUCCGAAGCUGAGAUAGAAGAUUGAACUAUAGAAGAGAUGAAGAGAAAGAGAAUUAGGGAGGAUAGAUAGCUACAAAGAAAGAAAGAGAGAAGAAAUCGUGUGCAAACUCGUGAAACAAAAAAGAGGAAAGAAACUCUAAAAUGGGUAGUUAGGGCAUGUGGUUAGGAGUGAGGAUAUAUUGAAUCUUAUAGAGGCGUGCAUAAAAUAUGAGGUUAGGGGAAGUCAAUGUUGUCCACCAAUGAUAAGUGGAAAAAAUUUUAAACAAGUCCCUCGAUUCAGGAAAAAAAAAAAAAAGGAAGACAGAGAAGAAGACUAGGGAGAUCUUGUUUGAGCAUUGGGUAGGGACCCCGGGAUGGUCAUAUUGAGACCCUCCUUAAGUAGAAGAUCUCUUCACGUGUCGCAACUUAUUAAGGAAAAGUUCAGCCUUUUUCGCCUCAUUUUUUGCUAAGGAAGACAAUGGAUCUUGUUGGUGGUAAAAUUGGAACAAGAAUUAUUUAAGACAUGACAUGUAUGCAACAUACCUCAUGACCGAUAAACCCUUAUAAAGAAUAAAGAAAAAAUUGAAAGGGCAGGGACAUAUAAUAAGAAGUUCUAAAGAAUAAGAUUUAGCAACUGAAAUUCUAAGUGCGCAACCCAUGAUGGGGUGAAUUGGAUUUCUAAAAUUUAUGCAAUGGUCGAAUAAAAAUAAUCCAAAUAUAAAAAAAAAUUCAAAGCAAUAAUAGAAAACUAAAACAAUUAAAAGCAAGGAGUUAAGGGCAGAGAGAUUCAAACACAAGGAUUUUUACGUGAUUCGGCCAAUCCCGCCUACAUCCAUGCCUCCAAGUUCAUCAAGCUUGAGAUUAUCCAAAGUUUCUUAACGCAAGUGUUUCUCACACCUACAAUCACUCAAAAAUAAAGAUUAUAAAAAAGUUUUUCUCACACAAUGUAUAUGGUUACAAAUAAAAGCUCAAAGUGUGAAUCAAUGAAGCAAAAACAUGUUUAUGGCUCAAUAAGGAUUGUAUACUCAGUAGUAAGCUCAAUGAUAACUAUUGGAUCUCAUUAAAAUUUGAAUUUGAUUGAACCUUUUAUAGUUGAAGCUAAAAACUAGUCGUUGUUGACUUUCUGAAAGUAAUCGGAUCACUGUUUACUGCUGUUGGUUCACCAUUUUGACUUGUCCAAAUUACUAUUAUGCUAAGAUUUUAAAUAGUCAGUUAAUCGUUUAAAGUUAUCGGUUAGCCAUUUAUUUCCAGAAACCUACAAAAUAAAUUUGGUUAACCGUUUGUGCUAAACGAUUCACGGUUACAAUAACAUUGCUUUAUGUGAUAUUAAGUCUAUUUGGCUUUCCGUGAUAUGAUUACUUGUUCGAAUUGGGUGUUUGAAUUAUAUGAAUUCAUGAAUCAUGCAUUAAAUAGACUUUUAAGAAAUUUUGGAUCAAUAAAAUGAUCUGGGAAUGUAUUAAAGAUGGCCAAAGAUAAAAAAACAAAUGUGCGAAAUCAUAGUUAAAAUAAAUGGAUAAUCGAUUGGUACUAAACGGUUUAUCGUUUAAAUACAGAGACUUAAAAAAUGUCUGCUGUGAGUUAUCAACUAAUCGUUUGAAAAUAACGGUCACCGAUUAAAAAAAGAGAGGUUAAUUUUGUUAAUGGAUAACCAUUUAUGGUAAACAGAUAACAAUUUUGGCAUUUGGUGCUUUCUAGAAAUUGUCGGCUCGUCGAUCAUAAAACAACUCACUUUUUUCGUGCGAUAAUAAUUGUUUUCAGGUUUUCUUCUUCAUUUUUAGUUGUACUCCUACCAAUUUCUCUCUAAUCGUGGUACCCUAGCUUUCUCUCUUUAAAUGUUUUCAUUUUUCCUACAUUUUCCUGCAAAAUUGAACCCAUAGAAUCCUUUUUAAACAUCUUUAGACCAGUUUUAACAAGUCAAAACAUAAAAUUAAGACUUAAAUCACAAAAUCCCAAUUCUAAACCCUAGAGUCAGCCGAACAGUUUUCUUCAAUUUUGGCCGGAUUCUCAACACUUUUUGGCCAAAUUAGGCAUCAUAAUCACUUUCUUCACCAUAUAUACUCUUUCUAAUCGGUUCAAUUUCUUCAAUUUUCAUCAUUUCUUAAAAAUCCUAAAUUUCAUAUUUGUAACCAUGGCUGAAUCUUCACAGGCUUCUCCCAAGAGGAAAUUUUCUCCCAGUAGGAAUCCAAUACCACCUAGGGAGACUUCAGAAUUCGAAAAGAUUCAAUUUCCG
rnacentral:lncRNA from 1 species